GGAGUAGUUCGUAGUCUGGUGACGCGCUCGGUCUUCAAAACCGAUGAGGGGCGUAUCCCGUCCCUGGUGGGUUCGAUUCCCAUCUGCUCCCGCCA
rnacentral:tRNA from 1 species